AGCUUCACAUACAUACUUCAAGUGAAGGAUCAAAUUGGGAGCUUUUACUACUUCCCAUCUCUUGCAUUCCACAAAGCCGCAGGUGGUUUCGGAGGCAUCAGGAUUCUCAGCAGACCAAGAAUUCCAGUACCCUUCCCUGAUCCCUCUGGAGAUUACACUGUUCUCAUUGGAGAUUGGUACAAAUCCAACUACACGAAAUCAAGUUCGGCAGCUUGGAAAUAUCUAAGCAUAAGUUUCUUUUGGAGUUGCUUUAAGUGGUUCUUCAGUGGUAUUGGGAAUUCAUGCGAAUUUGACAACUUCCCUAGCUUUGGUUUAACUCCAUUCAAGAACACUUCUUCUAGGAGUUCCAGUGUUGCCGGAAAACACCAAGACCAUUGCUCCUCCAUACACAAGUUCUUCCGAACGUGAUUUCAGAAACAAUUUAAAGUCUUUUUGAAACUGAUUAAGAGUCCUAUGCAUGCGUUGCCUUUCAUCUUCCUGGUAUGUCUGAACAUGCUCCUCUUUUACUUCAUCCAGAGUCCUAUACAUGUCAAACAUUUAGUUAAAAGUGUUAUGGCUGUGUAUAAUGUCAUGAGUGGUAUAUCUACUGCACUAUCAAAGAACUUAGAAUGGAUUUACCCCAUGACAAAGUUAUAAACAAUAAGGACAUUAUGAAUGUGGAUACUAUGUCAUGUAUUGGAUGUAGGGGGAGUAACAAAUGGUUGGAGUGAGCUUUUUGAAGAUGCUACACCAUUGGGGGAAACCAAAUUGGAAGACAUUCGGAUUCAUUGGGGAAAUUUGUUUUUAGAAAAAUUUAGAAAUAGAUCAUGUUAAAAGGUCUAGUAUUACAUGUAAAAUUUAGAAAUAGGUGAAUGUGCUUUCAGUAUUAGGCUUCCCAGUGCAUGUCUAAUGUAGUGUGACCUAAUUUUUUUGAUCUUUUCUUCUCCUUGUAAGAGAAAAACUCUUCUUUAUGGAUACUAGAUUAGCCUCUCUUGGUUUCCAAGUAUAUUGUUUCUUUAGUAUUAUAUUUAUUAUAUAAUGAUGUAAUUGAGCCAUUUCUAUAAUGAUAACGAUCCCAAAUUGGUCUC